rnacentral:rRNA from 1 species
AUGGCGGGGCGUUGGCGGGGCGGUGGCGUGGCGAUCACCGGAGAAAAAGCUAUGCACGGGGGGGCCUAG